GAUGAAGAACGUAGCGAAAUGCGAUACUUGGUGUGAAUUGCAGAAUCCCGUGAACCUUCGAGUCUUUGAACGCAAGUUGCGCCCGAAGCCAUCAGGUUGAGGGCACGUCUGCCUGGGCGUCACAUAUCGUUGCCCAAUGCCUAUUGCAGUGCAAUAGGAAUUUCUAGGGCGAAUGAUGGCUUCCCGUGAGCGUUGUUGCCUCGCGGUUGGUUGAAAAUCGAGUCCUUGGUAGGGUGUGCCAUGGUAGAUGGUGGUCGAGUUAGAACGAUACCGAUCAUGUGCAUGCUCCCCAAAAUAUGGCCUCUAUGACCCACACGCGUCUUUUGACGCUCAUGACGAGACCUCAGGUCAGGCGGGGCUACCCGCUGAAUUUAAGCAUAUCAAUAAGCGGAGGA
rnacentral:misc_RNA from 1 species